UUAAAUUGAAGAGUUUGAUCAUGGCUCAGAUUGAACGCUGGCGGCAGGCCUAACACAUGCAAGUCGAACGGUAACAGGAAUCAGCUUGCUGAUUCGCUGACGAGUGGCGGACGGGUGAGUAAUGUCUGGGAAACUGCCUGAUGGAGGGGGAUAACUACUGGAAACGGUAGCUAAUACCGCAUAACGUCGCAAGACCAAAGAGGGGGACCUUCGGGCCUCUUGCCAUCGGAUGUGCCCAGAUGGGAUUAGCUAGUAGGUGGGGUAACGGCUCACCUAGGCGACGAUCCCUAGCUGGUCUGAGAGGAUGACCAGCCACACUGGAACUGAGACACGGUCCAGACUCCUACGGGAGG
rnacentral:rRNA from 1 species